rnacentral:rRNA from 1 species
AUUGAACGCUGGCGGCAUGCCUUACACAUGCAAGUCGAACGGCAGCACGGGUGCUUGCACCUGGUGGCGAGUGGCGAACGGGUGAGUAAUACAUCGGAACGUACCUUAUCGUGGGGGAUAACGCAGCGAAAGCUGUGCUAAUACCGCAUACGCCCUGAGGGGGAAAGCGGGGGAUCGCAAGACCUCGCGCGAUUCGAGCGGCCGAUGCCUGAUUAGCUAGUUGGUGGGGUAAAAGCCCACCAAGGCGACGAUCAGUAGCUGGGCUGAGAGGACGAUCAGCCACACUGGGACUGAGACACGGCCCAGACUCCUACGGGAGGCAGCAGUGGGGAAUUUUGGACAAUGGGGGCAACCCUGAUCCAGCAAUGCCGCGUGAGUGAAGAAGGCCUUCGGGUUGUAAAGCUCUUUUGUCAGGGAAGAAACACCGGUUCUAACACAGUCCGGGAAUGACGGUACCUGAAGAAUAAGCACCGGCUAACUACGUGCCAGCCGCCGCCGUAA